rnacentral:ncRNA from 1 species
GGUCUCGAGGAUUAAAAGGGAAUCGGGUGAAAAUCCCGGACAGUCCCGCUGCUGUGAAGCUCUACCAACCACUCGAAUUCUACACGCCACUGAUCCAUGUAUCGGGAAGGCAUCGAGUGGGGAGUCAGUCAGAAGACCUGCCAUCGAUUUUUA